AAUGAAUCAAAACUUUCAACAACGGAUCUCUUGGUUCUGGCAUCGAUGAANAACGCAGCAA
rnacentral:rRNA from 1 species